CUACUUACCCAACAGGGGAUCAACAGACUGAGAUCAAUAACGUGGCCUUCCUGGGUAAGGAUAUUCUUUGCAUUCCAGGUAUGCUGACUCUUGUGAUUUCCCUGAAUGUAGAGAAGCUGACUGCAUAAUUUGUAGUGAAAGACUGUAUUUACACCUUUAAA
ensembl:snRNA U1 U1 spliceosomal RNA